UACAGAGGUCCCAAGCGUUGUUCGGAUUCACUGGGCGUAAAGGGCGCGUAGGCGGUGAGGUAAGUCGGAUGUGAAAGCUCCGAGCUCAACUCGGAAAUGGCAUUGGAAACUACCUUGCUAGAGGGUUUGAGGGGGGACUGGAAUACUUGGUGUAGCAGUGAAAUGCGUAGAUAUCAAGAGGAACACCUGCGGCGAAGGCGGGUUGCUGGGCCGACACUGACGCUGAGGCGCGAAAGCCAGGGGAGCGAACGGG
rnacentral:rRNA from 1 species